rnacentral:rRNA from 1 species
UACGGGGGGAGCUAGCGUUGUUCGGAUUUACUGGGCGUAAAGGGCGCGUAGGCGGCCAGUACAAGCCAGUUGUGAAAUCUCGGAGCUUAACUCCGAAACUGCAUUCGAUACUGCCGUGCUCGAGGACUGGAGAGGAGACUGGAAUUUACGGUGUAGCGGUGAAAUGCGUAGAUAUCGUAAGGAAGACCAGUGGCGAAGGCGGGUCUCUGGACAGUUCCUGACGCUGAGGCACGAAGGUCAGGGGAGCAAACGGG